AGUGAACGCUGGCGGUAGGCCUAACACAUGCAAGUCGAACGGCAGCACAGGAGAGCUUGCUCUCUGGGUGGCGAGUGGCGGACGGGUGAGGAAUACAUCGGAAUCUACUCUGUCGUGGGGGAUAACGUAGGGAAACUUACGCUAAUACCGCAUACGACCUACGGGUGAAAGCAGGGGAUCUUCGGACCUUGCGCGAUUGAAUGAGCCGAUGUCGGAUUAGCUAGUUGGCGGGGUAAAGGCCCACCAAGGCGACGAUCCGUAGCUGGUCUGAGAGCAUGAUCAGCCACACUGGGACUGCGACACCGUCCAGACUCCUACGGGAGGCAGCAGUGGGGAAUAUUGGACAAUGGGCGCAAGCCUGAUUCAGCCAUACCGCGUGGGUGAAGAAGGCCUUCGGGUUGUAAAGCCCUUUUGUUGGGAAAGAAAUCCAGCUGGCUAAUACCCGGUUGGGAUGACGGUACCCAAAGAAUAAGCACCGGCUAACUUCGUGCCAGCCGCCGCAGUAA
rnacentral:rRNA from 1 species